CUCACAGUUCAUGGGUUCGAGCCCCGUGUCAGGCUCCAUGCUGACAUUGAUGGUGUGGAGCCUGCCUGGGAUUCUCUCUCUCCCCCUCUCUCUCUGCUCCUCCCCUGCUCUUUCUCUCUCAAAAAUAUAUAAACUUAAAAAAAAAAAAACAAACACUUUUAGAAACUGGGCAAAAGUUUUAAAAAACAAAUACCUAAGGACAAUAAGAAGUAAAGAAAAGUAGGCAGAUUUCAGAAGACAGUCAGAAGUCCCCCCAACUUUUGUUCACUUUUCUCUAGCAGCUCUGCCCCCAGAGUUGGCCCAGUCAUGGAGUUAUGCAGUGAGGCAGAGGAGCAAAAGGUAAAACUCUGGUAGAAACCCAGUCUGGCCAAAGGAACUAAUAAAAAAGGCCUCUGUGGACAGGAGAGUGUGAGGAUCCCUUAAUUCUGUAAAUGAACUCCCACAAGACUCAGGCUCACCUCUGAGCUGCAGGGCGGAACAAAAGUAGCACAGCAAAAGUAUUGAAAACUGACCUAACAAUGGGACCUCUGUGAGCAGGCAGCAGCAGGCAGAACUUGUACUUGGAACCUAAUCAGGAAGAAGACCUGCUACAACCAACACCAGCACUGUGCAGAGGGUCACUGCAGCACCCGGAACCUGACAUGAAAUUCACAAUCUCCACGAGAUAAGGCACAGCCAAAACAGCACGGGAUGACAAAACCUGAACUUGCUAUGGGAAUUUCCAAACAGAUAAGAACUUAAGAACUUUGCAAACACACCCCAGGUUGAAAGACAAGAGAAACUUGAAGAAAAUAGCCAGUGAAAAUACGAGCACCUUUCUUAAAAGGUCCUCAUAAGAACUGCAACACAAAAGAGACCAAGGCCCUGACUGUCUUCUAUUCAACAGAAUCAGUACUCAGAUGAGUGCCAUCAAGAUCUCUUUAGUCUCCAUAAGUGAUUGCAAACACUUGACAAUCAAGAUUAACGUCUGACCUAGAGAGCACAAGCGGAGGAGGGGCAGAAAGAGAGAGGAAUAGAGGAUCCGAAGCAGGCUCAGUGCUGACAACAGGGAGCCCAACGUGGGGCUCAAACUCGUGAAUCCUGAGAUCAUGACCUGAGCUGAAGUCAGAGGCUUAACCGAAUGAGCCACCCAGGUUGCAGCUAAGUGGAGAAGGAAGUCCACGAGUUCCUACGCUUCUCUUCAGCUGACUUUUGCCAGCACGAACACAGGAAACGGGACACAGCUGCAUCAGUCUAGCAAUGCAGGUCUGCAGGAUAGGGAUGAUGCAAGGACCACUGGGCCAGGACACAGCUGAAAUGCCACGCUCUGAGUUCCCAGGGGUUUAGGUACCAGUCUCAACAACUGAUGGACCCAAAAGCCCAGGACAGCCAAUGAGAGCUCCACAUUCACUUGGCCAUGAGGACUGCUUCGGGCAUGUGAUCAAGCCAGGCCAAUCAGAACCUUUGGACUUGACAGUGAGGCCUUCACAUUCCUGAAGUGAACUUCCAACAGGCUGCUUCAAAUCUCCAAACUGGCCAACAUCGAAAUGUUUGGACAGAUGCUCUGCUGUCUCCCUGAUCGUACACCUGGAUGCAAUCAUGUUUCCAAGGCAAGGCCACAUUACAAGUGAACUGCUUUUUCAAAUUUCA